rnacentral:rRNA from 1 species
AUUGAACGCUGGCGGCAUGCUUUACACAUGCGAGUCGAACGGUAACAGGGUGCUUGCACCGCUGACGAGUGGCGAACGGGUGAGUAAUGCAUCGGAAUGUACCGUGUAAUGGGGGAUAGCUCGGCGAAAGCCGGAUUAAUACCGCAUACGCCCUGAGGGGGAAAGUGGGGGACCGAAAGGCCUCACGUUAUACGAGCAGCCGAUGUCUGAUUAGCUAGUUGGUGAGGUAAAGGCUCACCAAGGCGUCGAUCAGUAGCGGGUCUGAGAGGAUGAUCCGCCACACUGGGACUGAGACACGGCCCAGACUCCUACGGGAGGCAGCAGUGGGGAAUUUUGGACAAUGGGCGCAAGCCUGAUCCAGCCAUGCCGCGUGUCUGAAGAAGGCCUUCGGGUUGUAAAGGACUUUUGUCCGGGAGCAAAUCCUAGUGGUUAAUACCUACUGGGGCUGAGAGUACCGGAAGAAUAAGCACCGGCUAACUACGUG